rnacentral:rRNA from 1 species
UACGUAGGGGGCAAGCGUUGUCCGGAUUUAUUGGGCGUAAAGAGCGUGUAGGCGGCUUUACAGGUCAGGUGUGAAAUCUCGGAGCUUAACUCCGAAACUGCAUUUGAUACUGCGGUGCUUGAGGACUGGAGAGGAGACUGGAAUUUACGGUGUAGCAGUGAAAUGCGUAGAGAUCGUAAGGAAGACCAGUGGCGAAGGCGGGUCUCUGGACAGUUCCUGACACUGAGGCACGAAGGCCAGGGGAGCAAACGGG